GUCGAGAAUCUUCCGCAAUGCGCGAAAGCGUGACGGGGCGACACCGCGUGAUGGAUGAAGUCCUUCGGGGCGUAAACAUCUUUUAUAAAGGAGGAAAUUUUUGACGUUACUUUAUGAAUAAGGGGCUCCCAAUCUCGUGCCAGCAGGAGCGGUAAUACGAGAGCCUCAAGCGUUAUCCGGAAUCAUUGGGCGUAAAGGGUGCGUAGGUGGUUUGAUUAGUCUCCCGUUAAAACUUCGAGCUUAACUCGAAAAGAGCGGGGGAAACGGUCAAACUAGAGUAUGUGAGAGGUGUGUGGAACUCAUGGUGUAGGGGUGAAAUCCGUUGAUAUCAUGGGGAACACCAAAAGCGAAGGCAGCACACUGGCACAUCACUGACACUGAGGCACGAAACCUAAGGUAGCGAAUGGGAUUAGAAACCCUUGUAGUCC
rnacentral:rRNA from 1 species